GGAAGGGAGAAAACUGAGUGACUGACUGGAUCUUAGACAUUCUAAAGAAGAACAAAGAUUUCUUCUUUUAAUCCCGGUGUGGGGGCGGGGGCCCUAUUCAAGGUAUAUUGGGAGCAGGACUAAGACUGAAAAGGGAGCCUUCUGAAGUGCCCUGGUGUUUCUGAUUGACAUGCUGAUUUAACCAGAGGUUGACAGGUAUCUGCUGUUUAGAUGAGAGGUAAAAUUUAAGAUACAGAAAUGGUGGAUAUUUGUGGCCAUGGGCGGGUAGAUGAGACAGUCAGAGAGAGAAGAAGGUUGAAUCCUUAGGAACCUCCUGGAUCAUUUAGGAGACACCAAGUUAAGCCGUGGUUUCAGUUCCAGGAAAUCCAGAGGGAAGGGCAGUGGAGCAUCGCCAAGCCAGCCGUGGAUUUUGACAGCUGGCUGCUCAUCUUGCAGAUGUAGACCUCAUGGGUAUCAGAGCUGCCCACAGAGGAAGAAAAGGUUUUUCUUAUGUGGAAGGGGUUGGAUGUCCCCCAGGAGC